UCAUGAUGAGACACCAGCUGGCACCAGUCAUAGAGUGACUUGUACUCCCUUCAUUGAUGACCAAACUGCUCGGUCCACCAAGACCACUUCUGAA
rnacentral:snoRNA from 1 species